UUAAUUGAAACCAAAUAGAGGUUUAUCACUGUUAAUGAUUAAAUUGAAUAAUAAUUCCAAUUAAA
rnacentral:tRNA from 1 species